UAGCUGGGUUUAAGAAGUGCAGCAUUAAAACAAAAGUCGUAAGUUUCUCAAGCCCAUGUAAAGACACAUUCUGAGUUAAAGUUCACAGGCACAACU
rnacentral:snoRNA from 1 species